CCUACGGGAGGCUGCAGUGGGGAAUUUUGGACAAUGGGCGCAAGCCUGAUCCAGCUAUUCCGCGUGUGGGAAGACGGCCUUCGGGUUGUAAACCACUUUUGUAGAGAACGAAAAGUCUGUUGAUAAUACCGAUAGAUGAUGACGGUACUCUAAGAAUAAGCACCGGCUAACUACGUGCCAGCAGCCGCGGUAAUACGUAGGGUGCGAGCGUUAAUCGGAAUUACUGGGCGUAAAGGGUGUGCAGGCGGUUUUGCAAGAUGGAUGUGAAAGCCCCGGGCUUAACCUGGGAAAGCCAUACAUGACUGCAAGACUAGAGUGCGUCAGAGGGGGGUGGAAUUCCAAGUGUAGCAGUGAAAUGCGUAGAUAUUUGGAAGAACACCGAUGGCGAAGGCAGCCCCCUGGGACGCAACUGACGCUCAUACACGAAAGCGUGGGGAGCAAACAGGAUUAGAUACCCUGGUAAUC
rnacentral:rRNA from 1 species